UCUCUCUCUCUCUCUCUCUCUCUGUGUCACGCCCUCUCUUUCUUCUUGUUCUUCUCCUUCCUCUUCUCCUCUUGCGGUCUUUUCUCAUCUGAAAAUUCCAUGGCCGCCUCUUCUACUACCAAUCUCUCUCUUCCCAAGUCUCAAAUUCCUCUCAAAGCCCCUCUCUCCCUCCUCGCCAAAACCCUUCAUAAACCCUCUCUUUUACCUCGCCAACCCUCCUCCGUCUCUCACACCGUUGCUUUCUCUGCCAAGAACCCCAUCUCUCAUGUUAUCUCCGCAAACGAAAACUACCCAGAUGAUUCUUCUUUUUCUUUUAAUUUUGAUGAUGACGAUAAGCCCCGUGAAGAGUGUGGUGUUGUGGGUAU
rnacentral:misc_RNA from 1 species